UCACCGCAAUGGUAAUUCAGCUUAGUACGAGAGGAACCGCUGAUUCAGAUAAUUGGUUUUUGCGGCUGUCCGACCGGGCAGUGCCGCGAAGCUACCAUCUGCUGGAUAAUGGCUGAACGCCUCUAAGUCAGAAUCCAUGCCAGAACGCGGUGA
rnacentral:rRNA from 1 species